CACCAACGUAAAACAAGAAGAAGAAGAAUCAGAGUAGUCGGAGAAGAAGAAACAAUAACACGAACCGGCUAAUCUUUUCAAUAUUGUUUGUCAUUUUCACGAGUUUUUGCUUCUUUAAAAUAGUGUGUGAACGCGUUAAAUUGCUACAUUUAAAUCGAUACCGUUGUUUGUGUGGCCGUACAGAGCCACGGUGUGUUUUUUAGCGCAGCAUUCCGCUAGCUUAGGUUAUCAUCAGCGGUGUGUCGGUGGGAACAGGCCGGGUAGAGAAUGAACUCUGUGGGGUACUGCGUCACUCUGGGCCCGCAGCUUCGCGAUGACGAGGCCCUGGUGGUGGAGAACGCCAUUCGACUGGCUGUGGACUCCAUCGUUAACGUUCUGUUCGGUGUGAACAGCUCCAGGGCCCGGGAAUACCACCGGGUCCUGUCCGACCGGGACAAAGAGAUCCAGCGGCUGGAGACCAGGCUGAGGGAGACGGAGGAAGAGCUGGAGGUGCUCCGUCAGCUGGGCUGCGGCUGCGGGGGGAACGGGACCCAGAGAAGCCUCGGGAGAAGCCCGAGCUCUGGUGACCUGAGAGUAGCAGGGCAGAGCGGACCCGAGGCGGUGUGUGAGGACUCAGAGGAACCAGAGCAACAACAGCAGCAGCAGCACUGCGAAAUGACUUUAACACUGGGCCUUUAUGCAGAACCUCCAGCUCACGUGUCCCCCCCCGACAUGGAGUCUGCGCUCCACCCCUCCCAAAGCCGUCGAAUGGAGAAGGAGACGAGUCACGCAUUUGCUCCUUCAGGAAUGUCGUGCGAUAGGAACGUUCCUCCGUCUGCUGGCGCCCCCCUCGUCGUCAAAGAGGAGCCACACGACAUCAACUCUGUCCUCAUCAAGUGGGAGAUGAACGAAGAUGGAGCCCAGGUGCCUCCAGAGAGCACGCACAGCGCCAGUGUCGCAAACGUGGAGAGUGGAGACGGGACGCAUUUUGGAGAGAUCCCUCAUGUAGACGUCCAGGCCCUGAGAAUGAAUACGAGUGAACAGAUCAGAAAAAGAAAGAGGAGCACGAGGACAUCGGAGCCGACCAAUGACGCGCUGAGCCUGAAGCGGGCGGCCUGGAGGGCGGCGUCCAGGCGCUACUACGCUCGGAAAGUGGCCCGUCAGCAGCUCAGACCCUCGCAGCCCACCUCCUUCCUCCAGAUGGGAUUCUCCACUCCGAUGCUCCAGGACUCUCAGAGGGCCACAGCCAGGGGCUACUAUGGCCGAAAGAGGGCCCUGAACCAGCCUGGAGACCCUCAGGGAGCCAACAUGGACUCUAGUCACAGUGAAGGAAUCCUGUGCAGCUGAUGGAAAGGUUUUAGGUUCAAAAUAUUUUAUGAUCCUGAUCAAUAUUCAAUGAACUUUUACACUUUAAUAAAAGAUCAAAAAGUGCAAAAAAGAACCUUGUG
rnacentral:lncRNA from 1 species